rnacentral:rRNA from 1 species
GUGCCAGCCGCCGCGGUAAUACCAGCACCCCGAGUGGUCGGGAUGAUUAUUGGGCCUAAAGCAUCCGUAGCCGGUGUAACAAGUCCUCCGUUAAAUCCACCUGCUUAACAGGUGGGCUGCGGAGGCUACUGUUACACUAGGAGGCGGGAGAGGCGAGGGGUAUUCCACGGGUAGGGGUAAAAUCUUCUGAUCCGUGGAGGACCACCAGUGGCGAAGGCGCCUCGCCAGAACGCGCUCGACGGUGAGGGAUGAAGGCUGGGGGAGCAAACCGGAUUAGAUACCCGGGGAGGCCCAGCCGUAAACGAUGUAGGCUCAGUGAUGGACUGGCUCCGAGCCAGUCCAGUGCCGCAGGGAAGCCGGUAAGCCUACCGCCUGGGGAGUACGGCCGCAAGGCUGAAACUUAAAUGAAUUGACGGGG